rnacentral:rRNA from 1 species
ACUCAAAACUCAAAGGACUUGACGGUGUCCCAAACCAACCUAGAGGAGCCUGUCCUAUAAUCGAUAAUCCACGCUACACCUCACCCCCUCUCGAAACCAGUCUGUAUACCGCCGUCUUUCAGUUCGCCUUAUGACAGACCCAUAGCGAACACAACAGCCCAUCACUCAAACGUCAGGUCAAGGUGCAACUAAUGAUGGGGCAGCGAUGGGCUACAUUUUCUAUAACAGAACACCACCACCCACCACAUGAAACAUGGGCCAUAAGGCGGAUUUAGCAGUAAGCCAAACA